rnacentral:misc_RNA from 1 species
GAAAAAGAAGAGAAUUUCAGUUUCAUGAGAGAAAAAAAUAGUAAAAAAAAAGCUGAAGAAAAUUAAAAAAAAAGUCGUUCUUUUUCUUUAAUCUUUCUCUCUCUUUUUUAUCAGUCAUACUGAGUCCAUUCAUCUCAAGAUUGCAAUUACAUAUGCAAAAACACUAAUGUAAAGGAGGGCAAGGAAGAAGGAGUGGGUUUCUAAGGAUCUGGCAUUAUUAAGAAGAGUUUGUUUGAAUUACUGGAUUACUAAACAUGUCUCAGACCAACUGGGAAGCGGAUAAAAUGUUAGAUGUCUAUAUUCAUGAUUAUUUAGUGAAAAGGGAUCUAAAGGCUUCUGCUCAGGCCUUUCAAGCUGAAGGGAAAGUGUCAUCUGACCCUGUUGCUAUUGAUGCUCCUGGUGGUUUUCUAUUUGAAUGGUGGUCUGUAUUUUGGGACAUAUUCAUCGCAAGGACCAAUGAGAAGCACUCGGAAGUUGCUGCCUCUUAUAUCGAGACACAAAUAAUGAAGGCAAGGGAGCAGCAG